AUUGAACGCUGGCGGCAGGCCUAACACAUGCAAGUCGAACGGCAGCACAGAAGAGCUUGCUCUUUGGGUGGCGAGUGGCGGACGGGUGAGUAAUGUCUGGGAAACUGCCCGAUGGAGGGGGAUAACUACUGGAAACGGUAGCUAAUACCGCAUAACGUCGCGAGACCAAAGUGGGGGACCUUCGGGCCUCACACCAUCGGAUGUGCCCAGAUGGGAUUAGCUAGUAGGUGGGGUAAUGGCUCACCUAGGCGACGAUCCCUAGCUGGUCUGAGAGGAUGACCAGCAACACUGGAACUGAGACACGGUCCAGACUCCUACGGGAGGCAGCAGUGGGGCAUAUUGCACAAUGGGCGCAAGCCUGAUGCAGCCAUGCCGCGUGUAUGAAGAAGGCCUUCGGGUUGUAAAGUACUUUCAGCGGGGAGGAAGGCGGUGAGGUUAAUAACCUCGCCGAUUGACGUUACCCGCAGAAGAAGCACCGGCUAACUCCGUGCCAGCCGCCGCGGUAA
rnacentral:rRNA from 1 species